CCCAAUGUGAACGUUACCAAACUGUUGCCUCGGCGGGAUCUCUGCCCCGGGUGCGUCGCAGCCCCGGACCAAGGCGCCCGCCGGAGGACCAACCAAAACUCUUUUGUAUACCCCCUCGCGGGUUUUUAUAUCUGAGCCAUCUCGGCGCCUCUCGUAGGCGUUUCGAAAAUGAAUCAAAACUUUCAACAACGGAUCUCUUGGUUCUGGCAUCGAUGAAGAACGCAGCGAAAUGCGAUAAGUAAUGUGAAUUGCAGAAUUCAGUGAAUCAUCGAAUCUUUGAACGCACAUUGCGCCCGCCAGUAUUCUGGCGGGCAUGCCUGUCCGAGCGUCAUUUCAACCCUCGAACCCCUCCGGGGGGUCGGCGUUGGGGAUCGGCCCUUUACGGGGCCGGCCCCGAAAUACAGUGGCGGUCUCGCCGCAGCCUCUCCUGCGCAGUAGUUUGCACACUCGCAUCGGGAGCGCGGCGCGUCCAUUGCCGUUAAACACCCAACUUUCUGAAAUGUUGACCUCGGAUCAGGUAGGAAUACCCGCUGAACUUAAGCAUA
rnacentral:rRNA from 1 species